CGGGAUUGUGCCAGCCGCCGCGGUAAUACGUAGGUCCCGAGCGUUGUCCGGAUUUAUUGGGCGUAAAGCGAGCGCAGGCGGGUUAGAUAAGUCUGAAGUUAAAGGCUGUGGCUUAACCAUAGUACGCUUUGGAAACUGUUUAACUUGAGUUCAGAAGGGGAGAGUKGAAUUCCAUGUGUAGCGGUGAAAUGCGUAGAUAUAUGGAGGAACACCGGUGGCGAAAGCGGCUCUCUGGUCUGUAACUGACGCUGAGGCUCGAAAGCGUGGGGAGCGAACAGGAUUAGAUACCCUGGUAGUCCACGCCGUAAACGAUGAGUGCUAGGUGUUAGGCCCUUUCCGGGGCUUAGUGCCGCAGCUAACGCAUUAAGCACUCCGCCUGGGGAGUACGACCGCCAGGUUGAAACUCAAAGGAAUUGACGGGGGCCCGCACAAGCGGUGGAGCAUGUGGUUUAAUUCGAAGCAACGCGAAGAACCUUGCCAGGUCUUGACAUCCCGAUGCCCGCUCUAGAGAUAGAGUCUUACUUCGGUACAUCGGUGACACAGGUGGUGCAUGGUUGUCGUCAGCUCGUGUUGUGAGAUGUUGGGUUAAGUCCCGCAACGAGCGCAACCCUUAUUGUUAGUUGCCAUCAUUCAGUGGGGCACUCUAGCGAAACUGCCGGUAAUAAACCGGAGGAAGGUGGGGAUGGCGUCAAAUCAUCAUGCCCCUUAUGACCUGGGCAACACACGUGCUACAAUGGCUGGUACAACGAGUCGCAAGUCGGUGACGGCAAGCUAAUCUCUUAAAGCCAGUCUCAGUUCGGAUUGUAGGCUGCAACUCGCCUACAUGAAGUCGGAAUCGCUAGUAAUCGCGGAUCAGCACGCCGCGGUGAAUACGUUCCCGGGCCUUGCACUCACCGCCCGUC
rnacentral:rRNA from 1 species